UACGUAGGGUGCAAGCGUUGUCCGGAUUUAUUGGGCGUAAAGAGCGUGUAGGCGGUCUUACAGGUCAGCUGUGAAAACUCGAGGCUCAACCUCGAGACGCCGAUGGAAACCAUCUAACUAGAGUCCGGAAGAGGAGAAUGGAAUUCCUGGUGUAGCGGUGAAAUGCGCAGAUAUCAGGAAGAACACCCGUGGCUAAGGCGGUUCUCUAGUACGGUACUGACGCUGAGACGCGAAAGCGUGGGGAGCGAACAGG
rnacentral:rRNA from 1 species